rnacentral:rRNA from 1 species
CCUACGGGAGGCAGCAGUGGGGGAUAUUGCACAAUGGGCGAAACCCUGAUGCAGCGACGCCGCGUGUGGGAAGACGGUCCUCUGGAUUGUAAACCACUGUCCCCAGGGACGAAGAUGACGGUACCUGGGGAGGAAGCUCCGGCUAACUACGUGCCAGCAGCCGCGGUAAUACGUAGGGAGCGAGCGUUGUCCGGAAUUACUGGGUGUAAGGGGAGCGUAGGCGGGACUGCAAGUUGGGUGUAAAAUCUACCGGCUCAACCGGUAGCCGCACUCAAAACUGCAGUUCUUGAGUGAAGUAGAGGCAGGCGGAAUUCCUGGUGUAGCGGUGAAAUGCGUAGAUAUUAGGAGGAACACCAGUGGCGAAGGCGGCCUGCUGGGCUUUUACUGACGCUGAGGCUCGAAAGUGUGGGGAGCAAACAGGAUUAGAUACCCCUGUAGUC